CGGAGCUUGAGGCUGGAGAGACUGAGAUUGAAAAUCCAAACUAAUGGAGACACAGAAAUAAGUGUGGUGCUAUCACUGCUUACCUCCGUCCUUCAUGUAAUACCCACACUGCUCAGGUCAAGAGAGGGACUCUCUGCUGCCGGCCUCUGAGAAGAUUCCUCCCUUUGUGAGUGGCCCCUGGUCUGUAUCUCCCAGCUCUGUACGUACGAGUUGAGUCACUUAACCUUUCUCAGCCUCGAUUUUCUCAUCUUGAAAAUGGUAAUAUAAUUGUACCUAUCUUACAGGGUUGUUAUAAGAAUUAAAUGAGGAAUUCAUAGAACAUGCACAACAUAAUGUCAGGUACAUGGCAAGCGUUCUUACACUCUUCUCCCCCUGAAGGUCCCUCCCCCGACUGAGUCAUUGGGAUUCUUAUAUCUGCAUCUUUUGCCCCUCCAUCACCUCGCACUCCAGGCUGAGGUUUGGGAUUUGGGGGUCUGGGCUGGCUGAGGAAGCAAGGGUGACUCCUUCCAAGAAAAACAGGAUGUGCAGCAAGCAGCAGCCAGACGUGAAACCAGAACAGAAGCCCCAGGCCUGGAGCUGGCAGGAUGUGAGCUCUCUGUGCCUCAGCCUGUCAGCCUACAAGGCCCACUCGGAGGGAACAAGACCACGUGAAGAGGGAGCAGAAAGGCCAGAGGUUCAAGCCCCAGUUCCUGUGUCCUCAGCUCCACUUCGGCUUCACAGCUUAAGACCCUCCAGGAGAAGCCCUGCCUGUUGUCCUGCAGCGGAAGCGUUCCAGGACAAUGCGACCCGC
rnacentral:lncRNA from 12 species